rnacentral:rRNA from 1 species
UACGGGGGGAGCAAGCGUUGUUCGGAUUUACUGGGCGUAAAGGGCGCGUAGGCGGCCUCCGCAAGUCAGUUGUGAAAUCUCCGAGCUUAACUCGGAAAGGUCAACUGAUACUGUGCGGCUAGAGUGCGGAAGGGGCAACUGGAAUUCUUGGUGUAGCGGUGAAAUGCGUAGAUAUCAAGAGGAACACCUGCGGCGAAGGCGGGUUGCUGGGCCGACACUGACGCUGAGGCGCGAAAGCUAGGGGAGCGAACGGG